UAUUGGGCGUAAGGGCUCGCAGGCGGUUUCUUAAGUCUGAUGUGAAAGCCCCCGGCUCAACCGGGGAGGGGAUUGGAAACUGGGGAACUUGAGUGCAGAAGAGGAGAGAGGAAUUCCACGUGUAGCGGUGAAAUGCGUAGAGAUGUGGAGGAACACCAGUGGCGAAGGCGACUCUCUGGUCUGUAACUGACGCUGAGGAGCGAAAGCGUGGGGAGCGAACAGGAUUAGAUACCCUGGUAGUCCACGCCGUAAACGAUGAGUGCUAAGUGUUAGGGGGUUUCCGCCCCUUAGUGCUGCAGCUAACGCAUUAAGCACUCCGCCUGGGGAGUACGGUCGCAAGACUGAAACUCAAAGGAAUUGACGGGGGCCCGCACAAGCGGUGGAGCAUGUGGUUUAAUUCGAAGCAACGCGAAGAACCUUACCAGGUCUUGACAUCCUCUGACAAUCCUAGAGAUAGGACGUCCCCUUCGGGGGCAGAGUGACAGGUGGUGCAUGGUUGUCGUCAGCUCGUGUCGUGAGAUGUUGGGUUAAGUCCCGCAACGAGCGCAACCCUUGAUCUUAGUUGCCAGCAUUCAGUUGGGCACUCUAAGGUGACUGCCGGUGACAAACCGGAGGAAGGUGGGGGAUGACGUCAAAUCAUCAUGGCCCUUAUGACCUGGGCUACACACGUGCUACAGUGGGCAGAACGAAGGCAGCGAAACCGGAGGGUAAGCGAGUGGCGGCGGGUCUGGUCGCAGUCGGAUCGCAGUCUGCGACUCGGCUGGGGAAGCUGGAAUCGCUGGGAAGCGCGGGUCGGGGUGCGGGGUGAGACGU
rnacentral:rRNA from 2 species